rnacentral:rRNA from 1 species
AGCCGGAGGAGGGCGAAUGGUGCCGCGGGAGCUGGCGCUGGGGACGCGGGCUGGAGGGGGGCGCAUGCGGUCGCGCGAGCGUGAGCCAGGGACUCGGGCGGGCGGAGCCGCGGGAGCGGGCGGCGGGGACGUGGGCUGUAGGGGGGCGGCCUGACCCACGGGACCAUGUACCGGGGUCGCAGGACCAUGUACUGGGUACUCGCGCGAGUGGAGGGCGACCGGAGACGCGGGAGUGUGUGCCGGGGACGCGGGCGGGAGCAGGACGGCGGGUGCCGCGGUAGCUGGCGCUGGGGGCUCGGGACGCUGAUGUCGCGGUACGAGAACCCAGGUGCACAUAUACGAGCAGGAGAAGGAGAGCGGUGGUCGCAAUGAUGUCGUCGAGAGAAUGGCGGUGGAUGUCGAUUGGGAGAUGAACAUACGUUCCUCAGAUACCUUCCAACGUUUACACUUAAACCUCUACUCGCUACUUCUUUGCCUUCUCCUCAUACUUAGCGCGUUCUUCCGCCUCACCACGACACCUCGGACUAGAUACACAACAACUGAGAGUCCUAGACAAACACGGGUGAGUGUUCUACAGAACUACACGAACACAAAGGAGAGUCUAUGCAACCCGGCCCACAAAGAGGAUUCUUCAAAACAGGUCUCAAUUCAUCUACGUACAGGUAUUAUGAGACAACCUCCAAUCUUUCGUACAUAUACAAGAGUAGUAAAAAGACUUAGACCACUUUGGUUCAAAAGGACCCUUUAAACUACACCGACUC